GUAUCUGCACUUUAAUCAAAUAGAAACGUUGGAACCUGAAUCCUUUACCCAUCUUCCAAAACUUGAAAGGCUAUUUUUACAUAACAACAGAAUAGCUCAUUUGAUUCCUGGAACAUUUAGUCAUUUAGAAUCUAUGAAGAGACUGCGGUUGGAUUCAAACGCUCUUCACUGUGAUUGUGAGAUCCUGUGGCUGGCAGAGCUGCUGAAGACAUAUGCAGAGUCAGGUAAUGCCCAAGCAGCAGCUACCUGUGAGUACCCACGAAGGAUCCAGGGAAGAUCAGUGGCCACGAUAACACCAGAAGAACUUAACUGUG